CAAGGCUUACAGUACCAGCUUGCCAGCCAGCAUCACCACUGAAAACUACCAGAUCCAAUUUGCAGUGCAUGUUUUUGGCAGCUACAAUGGUACCAUCUCCUUGUCUGUCAGGGAAGAUGUAACAGGAGUUCCAAUCACCUUGCCAGUGUGGGAAAGGGCAGGGAGCUGGAGUGAUCACUGGUUUCUCAUCACCUUACCAAUGCCAGUGCUUCAGAACCGGUUUCAACUGCACCUCCUGGCAACCUGGGGCUGGA
rnacentral:lncRNA from 1 species